GUACAAGAAUCAACAAGAUGUGUUUUCCCUCACACAGCUCCCUAUGUCCUGGAGCAAAGGUUUACCAAAGAUGCAGGUCAUUAGGAACUAUUCUGGAACACCACCCCCAGCUCUGCAUGAAGGACCCCCUUUACACCUCCAGGCCGGGGAUACGGUUGAACUUCUGAAAGGAGAUGCACACAGUCUGUUUUGGCAGGGCAGAAAUUUAGCAUCUGGAGAGGUUGGAUUUUUUCCAAGUGAUGCAGUCAAGCCUUGCCCAUGUGUGCCCAAACCAGUAGAUUAUUCUUGCCAACCCUGGUAUGCUGGAGCAAUGGAAAGAUUGCAAGCAGAGACUGAACUUAUUAAUAGGGUAAAUAGUACUUACCUUGUGAGGCACAGGACCAAAGAGUCAGGAGAAUAUGCAAUUAGCAUUAAGUACAAUAAUGAAGCAAAGCACAUCAAGAUUUUAACAAGAGAUGGCUUUUUUCACAUUGCAGAAAAUAGAAAAUUUAAAAGUUUAAUGGAACUUGUGGAGUACUACAAGCAUCAUUCUCUCAAGGAAGGGUUCAG
rnacentral:sRNA from 1 species